rnacentral:lncRNA from 1 species
CCCCACCCCACUGACUGGGGGACAGUGCUCCAGGCAGCUGGAAUGGGACACCGUUUGUGUGGCGGCGAGAUAUCCAGGGGGGCUGGAGAGACCCACAGAGCCCUGAUCACCGUGGCUGGCCCGUAAGUGUGGCGACUGAGUCCCAGUCUGGAGGCACAGCUGGACUUUCCCAGAGAGAACUGAGGCAUUGUGGGAAUUUCCCAGCUGUGACCCCAGGACCCUGAUUGCCCAGAAUGGCUCCAAG